rnacentral:tRNA from 1 species
AGGGAUAUAGCUCAGUUGGUAGAGUGUUUGCCUUUCAUGCACAAGGCCCUGGGUUCAAUCCCCAGCACCACAG